rnacentral:rRNA from 1 species
UACGGGGGGUGCGAGCGUUGUCCGGAAUCACUGGGCGUAAAGGGCGCGUAGGCGGUGCGGUAAGUCUUUUGUGAAAUCUCCGGGCUCAACUCGGAGUCUGCAGGAGAAACUGCCGUGCUUGAGUAUGGGAGAGGUGAGUGGAAUUCCUGGUGUAGCGGUGAAAUGCGUAGAUAUCAGGAGGAACACCUGUGGCGAAAGCGGCUCACUGGACCAUUACUGACGCUGAUGCGCGAAAGCUAGGGGAGCAAACAGG